rnacentral:rRNA from 1 species
UACAGAGGUCCCAAGCGUUGUUCGGAUUCACUGGGCGUAGAGGGUGCGUAGGUGGCGGGGUAAGUUUGAUGUGAAAUCUCCGAGCUCAACUCGGAAACGGCAUUGAAUACUAUUUCGCUUGAGGGUCGGAAGGGAGACUGGAAUUCUCGGUGUAGCAGUGAAAUGCGUAGAUAUCGAGAGGAACACCAGUGGCGAAGGCGAGUCUCUGGACGACACCUGACACUGAGGCACGAAAGCUAGGGGAGCAAACAGG